rnacentral:rRNA from 1 species
UACGGGGGGGGCAAGCGUUGUUCGGAAUUACUGGGCGUAAAGGGCCCGUAGGUGGCCAACUAAGUCAGACGUGAAAUCCCUCGGCUUAACCGGGGAACUGCGUCUGAUACUGGAUGGCUUGAGUUUGGGAGAGGGACGCGGAAUUCCAGGUGUAGCGGUGAAAUGCGUAGAUAUCUGGAGGAACACCGGUGGCGAAGGCGGCGUCCUGGACCAACACUGACACUGAGGAGCGAAAGCCAGGGGAGCAAACGGG